rnacentral:lncRNA from 1 species
CUGCGGCGAUAUUUGAGAAGACUCAAUGAGAGACUGUUGGGAGAAAGGGAGAAAUAAUGCCCGGGGCGAGGCUGAGGUGGUGAGGGCGGGCACACUGUGCCUCAGAAAUAUUAUGGCUGAGGCUCGGGUGGAGGCACAUGAAGGAAGCAGCUCUUGCUUGGCCCCAGUUAGCCGACGAGGCUUUCCUUCCCUUAACAGGCUGUGUCUGAUAAGCUAACUAACAUUCCAGCGGACGCCAUGGUGGUUAAUUUGUCUGUGGCACUCCACUUGCUAUUGUGUGUAGAUUUUAACCCCGAUUAUCCUGAGUAUGUGCCAUUUCCUCCCACCACCACCACCAUGGUUGUCUGUAGGGAUCUCAGAUUACUGCCAUACUCAGGCAGGGUUGCCAAGUAUCCCGGUGAGGUAGGUGCUUCUUGAGAAACAUCUGUCAAAUGCAGCUUUGACUGCAAUGCUGGCAGACUUUCUUCCCCGACUGCCUCAGAAUUGGAGUCCUGCAAAUCAUUGGAGGCAUAGGGAGAGUCGCUUGUUUAGAGAAGCUCUUUAGGAACCUGGAAGCAGGGUUGAAGCCUGACCGGCUCUUUCACCUUUCGCAGCAGACUUGACCUGCAGAAAUCAGGUGUGUUUUCACAACAUGAAAAAUAAACAUCUGGCAGUGUCAGCACAUCACAAGGAUCCAAACGCACCAGCUCCAGGGACUUGGAAAAAUCGGCAAGUCUACAGUGCAAAGCAGCAUGAAAACACCUAUAAUUACCAUUCUGAGGCACCACAUACACUAAUGGUGACAUUAUUGUUGUUGUUACUAUUCCAACUACUAUUAUCACAAUAUGAAGAUGGAAAAUCAUCAGAAGCAUUAAGCUUUGUGAGCAAAUUCACAUGAACGCCUUUUCACAACUAUCACUUAAUAGCUUGUUGUUGAGAAACAGUCUCACCAUUUAUGCCAAGACUGACUCUUUAGGGUCAGCUUGGGACUUCAUGGCCUCCAUGACAACCGUAGCGAUUGCUCCAAUAACAACUGUCCGGACAUAUGAGUAAAGGCACACUUGUUUUUAUAUCCACUUUUCUGUAAGCCAUGCUCUUUCAGUUCACUAUCACUACCUGUGAUAAAGACUUAGUGUAUCCUUAUCACAGAAUAAUGUUUUCAUAUAUUUAUUGCCUAUUCAAAGUAUUAUUUAUUACCUAGACCAAGGCUUCUAAAAUAUAGGCAGACUAUCGGAUAUAAUGUAAAUGUAAAUAUUCAUGGCACAGAUUAAAGCCAUCUUCUUACAGACAUAGGACCAUACCCCUGCAUGUAAUGUAUAUAAAGAUACUCCUAUCUGUUCCUUUGCUUGAGGGUGUAUAUUUCUUUGGGUCUUUCAGGGCUAACUGACAUAUCACCUUUUAUGUCAGGAGCAGGGAAUGUGUACACCAGACCUACUCCUCCUCUUAGCUUUCCUCCCAUUGGGUUUGCUCCCUUCUGCUGAUGGGAGUUGCAGUCCAGUCACAUCUGGAAGCCUACACUCUGACCGCUGCUGCUAUAAAUGAAGGAGCUGGGGAGAAUGAAGGAGGAUACGUGCAGAGUGAAUGUCUCCCUGCAAGCUCUCCGUUCCAGGAACAUGGGGUGAGAUAACAGGUAAACAAGCACAUAAAAGACAUUCUAAUUGGUAUUAUUGUGGUCAUUGGUAGAGGGAGAUAUAUCCCAGUGACCAGCAUAGCUAGAAGCAUCCCCCAUUAUGAAGAUAACCUGCAGAGCUAGCUUCAGAAGAGUACUCCAGAUUUUCUAAAUGAACUGUAAAUUAAUCCACACGUGGUGAUACACUUAUCACUGAAACUUCCUUGACUGAGCUGGCACAAUUUUCAAUUUUGCCUUUUACCUUCACAAGUAUAGUUUGCAACUGUACUUCAGCUAUGGUUUCUUUUGAAAAACAGUCUCUCUUUAACUUUUUCUUUUAGCAUAUUUAAUUGGACUUGACUUACCAAUUCUGUGACUUAAACUGAACUGCUAGAUAGCUCAGUGGAGGCUGGGAGUUAGAUUCCACACUUGCUUCUCUGACAGGGAAGAUGAUGAUGAAAUAAAUAAAGCAUAACAUACA